UCUGGUGACAAUAGCGGAGGGGCAACACCUGGCAACAUCCCGAACCCACGCGUUAAGCCCUCCAGCGGUGAUGGUACUGCCGGGGUAACCCGGUGGGAGAGUAGCUGAUUGCCAGAA
rnacentral:rRNA from 1 species